rnacentral:rRNA from 1 species
AUUGAACGCUGGCGGCAGGCCUAACACAUGCAAGUCGAGCGGCAGCGGGACCUUCGGGUUGCCGGCGAGCGGCGGACGGGUGAGUAAUGCCUAGGAAUCUGCCUGUUAGUGGGGGAUAACGCGGGGAAACUCGCGCUAAUACCGCAUACGUCCUACGGGAGAAAGCGGGGGCUCUUCGGACCUCGCGCUAACAGAUGAGCCUAGGUCGGAUUAGCUAGUUGGUGGGGUAAUGGCCCACCAAGGCGACGAUCCGUAGCUGGUCUGAGAGGAUGAUCAGUCACACUGGAACUGAGACACGGUCCAGACUCCUACGGGAGGCAGCAGUGGGGAAUAUUGGACAAUGGGCGAAAGCCUGAUCCAGCCAUGCCGCGUGUGUGAAGAAGGUCUUCGGAUUGUAAAGCACUUUAAGUCGGGAGGAAGGGCUGUAGGCUAAUACCUUGCAGUUUUGACGUUACCGACAGAAUAAGCACCGGCUAACUUCGUGCCAGCCGCCGCCGUAAUAC